GUUCUCUACUGGCAGGGGAGACACCAUGAUGAGGCAGGUGGGUUUCCCAGGGCGAGGCUCAUCCCCUGCACUCCGGGUGUGCUAACCCCUGCAAUUUCCUGAAACGCACGAAACUUGACUGCAUAAUUUGUGGUAGUGGGGGACUGCGUUCAUGCUCUCCCCUC
rnacentral:snRNA from 1 species